UUUUGCGUACAAAUAUUUUAAAUUAAACGGAGCACUCAAUUGUUAAAAUUUAUUUUUCUCACGUGAUUAGUCUUAGACACUGCUCUCGUAAUUGUAUUUUUCUAACAUUACCCACGAAUUUUGUUUUUUGUUUAAUUAUUUUUAAUUGUUUUUGGUUAUAAUAAUGGUUUGGGUAUUCCAUUAUUUUAUUUAUAUAUAUUUUUAAUAGCUUUUUUCGAUUAAAAUAAAUUUUUAUUUUUCGCUCCAACACUUCAAAUUUUAACUAUUUUUUCGUACAUAUAUUAAAUUCGAUUUUGUUAAUAAAUGGAUACUUGGUUAAAACCACGCAAUUUUAAUAAUUUUACAAUAUUUUUUGUGUAUUUUAGUUUAUACAAUAAAUAUACAUAUAUUUCAUAUAUAAAAAUCGAAAUAUAUUAUUAAGAAAUAUUUUCAAAUUGAAUAUUUUUUAUUUUAAAGAAUUCCAAAUUCUUUUACACAAUUAAAAUGCUUACAAAAAUGAAGAGGUAAAAGAUAUUUCGUGCUAAUAACAAAAAUGUGUUUCAAUAAAAAAAAUUUUUUAAUGUGUUAAAAGAAUUUGGAAUUUUAUAAAACCAAUUUGACAAUAUUUCCUAAUAAAAAACUUUGCCGAAAUUUGCAUUCAAAUCCCAUUAUGCAAUUCAAUGUGUAUAAAUAUCGAAUUUAAAUUUUAUUAAAUAGUGCAUCAGUAUUUAUUAAAUACCUAAAAUAAUCAUAAUUAUUUUCUAUGCUAUUUAUUCACAUAAAAUAAUUCGAAAUGCGUGCCACGUAGGUCACAGUAAUAAAUAAUUAAUUAUGUUCAAUUGAUAAAUAAUAAACUGCUCACCUUCGUAAUCGCUUCGCACGACGCCAUCCUAACCUCUUUCCCCUCUCAGCCUCCUAUCCGCUAUGUCGUUCCUCACGCACAAAGUUUAUUUACACAACACACUCGCGAAGAAACGGUUAGAAAUGCAAUCGUAUUCACUGAUCACUGAAAUACAAUAAUCUCCCGACGCUAAUAGCUCGCGACGUGCACCUUAUUACGCAGCAUUACGAAAGAUCUACAUAACACACAGACGGAACAACACGCGAGAGGGACCGCGCGAUUAACGUAACGUAAAUUGGCGCAGCGAGUGAAUCUCUAAUGGCGGACGGAAUUCGAGUAUCUCAACGCGGGCAACUUCACGCGUCGCCGCGGCGACGGUGCUCCGAACACAUCCGCGUUCACAGGGUGCAUGCAGCAUCUCCCGCGCGUUCCUUGAGUAACGAGCCAUAAACGCGUCCCGAAGCGGUUACGUCGCGGCUGUGACGCCAAAUGAACGAAGGGGGGAGACCGGCGGGGGAGGUAAAAUUAGACGAACGUCCGUGGAAUGCGAUAUCUGAUAAUACGAUAGCCCCUUUGUCGCGCACUCGUGCGUUAGAAUUCCGACCGACCGAGUGUAUCGCGAGCUGCUUACAAACUGCGAACGCCAAAUUCCUCUACCUCUACGCGAUUGACAACGUAUUAGAAAUUAAUGGGGAGGACUCAAAUUCUCCAUACGCUCGUGCGCGACAAUUAUUUCCGUCGGUAAUACGACGCAAUGAAUAAACUGUACGCCCGAUAUUACAGAGCGAGUCGUUACCAUUAAAAAUUAAAUCCGAUUUUUGCGACGUAAAACUUUAGUCGAUCUAGAAACUCGCGAAAGUGUGCUCAGGACACAAAAUAUAUUACAACAAUCCGUCGAAAUCAGUUCGAGAUAGAAGGAACGAAAUACGUGAAAAUGAAUGAGAAAGUAGAAAAGAGAAAGCUCGAUAGAAGACAAAGACGAGAGAGAGAGAAAGAGAAAGAGAGAGAGAGACGCGAUAGCGUUUCGCAAAUAUAUUUCUCAUCUUGUAAUACGGAGUGACGAACGGACGAACGGUCGUGACUGUGACGCUUGACCUUGCGAUAUGUUAGGUUAUUUGCGACGAACCGCCCCGCGCGCGUAUCGUCACUUGUGUCGCGACCGCGGCGAGUAGCGGGCGGCGGUGAAGGGCGCUCCUCGUAAUUGAUAUCAGUCCACCAAAAGUAUAAUCGCCCCUUCAUCUCGCCGGUAGACCGGAGCCUCCUGCCAUCCUGUGCGUUUCGACGAACUCCUGCGGUACACAAAUAUCGCGAUCUUUUUCGAUCGACGAAUACUAUUGCGAAUUAUGCUUCCUGUAAACGUCACAGUAAGGUUUCGACUUGUUGGAUUGGCCGACCGUAACAGUAAUCGACUGAAUCGAGCACGUGAUUGGUCGAAACAUUAUUGUUACGUUUUAUAGAAAGGGUGACCAUCUUAACGGAUGAUUAAGCUCCGCGAUCAAUGCUUUAAGUUGCCACCCUGCGUCGCGACUAGUGAUAACUCAUUGACUCGUUUGCGUCGUUCACGCUUCGCAAGAGUACGUUCAUUCACUCGGCAAGGGUCGUGUUUAGUGCCGCGAAGUGAGAUAUCGUCGUGUUCCUCGUCGGUCGAGAGCGUGUUCCCCGCGGAAGACGUCGUCGGGGAUGUCGACCGAAUCGACGACGUAGAUCAACGGGCAGUGAUUGCGCCCCUCCCCCCUCUCCCCUCUCGUCGGUGGGAAAUUCGCGCUAAAAUUGCGUGAGAUUUUCGUCGCGACGGCCAUGUUGUGACGUAGUGCACAACGAUUGUUCUUCAAUCUGUACUUGACCGUCGUUCGCGUUGCGUCGUGUCGCGGUCCGUCUCCGUUCGACACGCAGUUACCCUUCCGCGACACGCGUUUCUUGGUGAUUUGCGAGUUCGCGAUCACCGUGGAUCGCUCGCAAACGCCAUCGGGACACAAGAGUAGUGAUUCGUCAACGGGAGUGUCGUCGCGGGACGCCCGGUAUUCGGCAACGAAGUGUUGUGCCGCCGCCAUUGUUCGUCUUUUUCGUGGCGCGAGGUGAGAUCUCGUCGCGUUCCCCGCGGAAGGCAUCACCGGGGAUGUCGAACUGAGUCGAUUAAAUCGACGUGCAAAGUGAUCGCGUCCCUCUUCCCUUCUUUCUCUGGGAAAUUUGCGUCAAAAUCGUGUGAGUUUUUCGUCGCGUCGUUGUGCAAAGUGUGACGCAGUUCGUGUACAACGGUCGUCCGCGUUCACGGUUCCCGUCUCCGCUUAAUCUCGUCGCGUUUCUCGCGUCUUCUCGGUCGAGACCGAAUUUCCGUGGAAGGCAUGCCGGAGAUGCCGAAUCGAGCCACCAACAUUAAUCGACGUGCAAAGUAGUCGCGUCGUUCGUGUCGAGCGUAUGUACAAGUGUUGCAAGGUGACUGCAGCAACAACACAACGAGGAAAACAUUAUUGGUUGCACUGUUGAGCAUAAUCAAAACCAUUAAGGAUUUAUCAUCUUCAUUGAUACAUGAAAUAUGGGUUUUAUUGGUAGUUCAUGGCAUAUGGGACACACGUAUGAGAGGUAAUGCUGUUACGGCUUUGGUAAGUGAGUUGCUUUUAUCUUAUUAAUAAAUUGCUCUUGUCUAUAGAGUUUGAUGCUCAAAAAAAGCUCAUUUUACAAAAGGCUGAGUGCUAUCAGACUCUAUAGAUUCGAAAAUAUGUAGUUCGUCUCCUCAAUCUUUUGAAUCUAAUAGUGCUUUUUGGCUUUGGAAAAUUAUAAGUUAUCAAUGGCACUUGACAUGUCUCAUUUUCUUAAUACGUCAGUCCAUGGUUUCCGACUUGUUUUCAGCCAUCAAAUGGCUGCUUACACUUUGUCUUCCAUUACUAAAUAUAAUUUGGCAAAUUAGUUUACUAAUAUUCUAUAACAAAUGUCUCAAUAAUUAAUCGUUAUCUAAAUCAAUAAAUUUAAAUACUUUUAGAUGUAUUCGUAUUAGGCACAUUUUUAUUAUUGUCUGUAAAAUCUAAAUGUUAUAGUUGCACCGAACCUCCUCGACAUAAACUUCAGGUUUUUUACUUUAUCAGUUAAUUUUAUUUAUAUAUUUUUUUUAUUUGGAGUAUUUAAAUCCUCAUUAGUGCUAAUAAAAAUAUUAUAUAUUAUAUUAUAUAAUAUAUUAUACAAUUCUUUAAUAGACAUUAUUUCACGAAAAAAAUAUUUAACUCACAGGAUAGAAUGUUCUGAUAUGCUAUUCAUUUUUUAAUAAAAUUUAUAACUUCUUGUCUAUUCUUUGUCUCAACAGCUGAAAUAAGAUAAUUGGUAAGAUUUGAUAUUAAAAUAAGGAAUAUUUAAGAAUAUUUAAGAAAAUGUUAAAUAAAUAUUUUUCGCAAAAGCUAUAUAUGAGUUAUUUGGAAAAUAAUACAUAUCUUAGCCAGGAGAAUCACUUUAAGUCGUGUAAUGCAUUUGAUAAAAAUUGUUUCAAGUAAAUCGGUUACAUAGUGGAACUUGGCAAAUUAGUUUACUAAUAUUUUAUAAAAAAUGUCUCAAUAAUUAAUCAUUAUCUAAAUUUAUAAAUUUAAAUAUUUUCAGAUAUACUCGUGUUAGGCACAUUUUUAUUAUUGUCCAUAGAAUCUAAAGGCUGUUAUAGUUGCACCGAACUUCCUCAACAUAAACUUCAGGUUUUUAUAUAAAUUUAUAUAAAUUAUUGCGAAAAUAAUACAUACCUUAGCCAAGAUUGACCACCCUGGCUGAGAUAUUAUUUUUUCAAAAGCUGUAUAUAAAUUAUUGGGGAAAAUAAUACAUAUUUUAGCCAGGACUGACCUCUCAUACAUGUGUCUCAUAUGUGUCCAACUUUAUAAAUUGUUUGUUAUGCCAUAAACUUCCAAUAUAGCUAAGAUAUAAUUUUUCGCAAAAGCUGUAUAAAAGUUAUUCAGAAAAUAUUACAUAUCUUAGACAGGACUGACCAUCCUGGCUGAGAUAUUAUUUUUCACAAAAGCUAUAUAUAAGUUUUUGGGAAAAUAAUACAUAUUUUAGCCCGGACUGACCAUCCUGACUGAGAUAUUAUUCAGAGUAGUAUCAGAGUUUUUUCAAUACUGGUUACCAAGACUGAGUUGUACCAAUCUUGGUAUAGUUAUUCAAGUUUGGAAUUUCCUACCUGAGUAUUAAACACCGAGUAUUAAAAUUAGACUUAAUAUAGAGGUCUAAAUUAUCAAUGGCAUGGAAGGGGGAGAGGGUGAAAAAUGUCAAGUGCCAUUGAUAAAUAUGAGAGUGAAAAAAAAUACAGCCCAGACAUUGUACGAGAUCUGUGGUUGAGCUACUCGCCGAAUUUUAAGUACCCUCGUACCAGACUUGUCGCGUCGGGCUUUAAAUGCGGUUGAACAUUCCAUAAAACAUGGCACUCGUCAUGGUUAGAGCAUGCUCUAAAAUCUCUAUGCAGUCGGAAUAUUCUGCUGUCAGAGUCACAGGAUUAUUUAUGCGACACCUCUUCGCCCGAUGGUUGUCGUUUUCUCGCUAUUUAUUGGUCUUCGAGAUUGUUCGUGCAUCAAGUUCAUAAUCGAUUUUGAUUGCAUCGAAUAGCUUCAUAAACCCGACAUGUAGUUACAAAGAAACUAUUUUGUAAUAAGUAAUAAUCUUCGGAUUACACAUUUUUUUUAAAUGAGUAUCCAUUAAAUGUAUCCGUUACAUACAUAAUUAAUGAAUACUAAAAUUUAUAAUAAAAUUAUAAAAAAUUAACGUUAUACUAAAAAACGAAUUUGAUUGUUAUUAUUAUCAUUAACUAAAGCAAAAGUAGAGUCCGAUAAAUAAUUUUUUACUUUAAAAAAUUUAAAUCCAUAUGUACAAAAUCUACACGAAAGUUGCGAGGAUGGCUUUUUUAAAUUGCAGCAUCAAAGUAAUUUCAAAGUAAUUUCGAGCUUUUUAUCGCUGUUAGAGAAUGCAAAAUUGCUUUCGGUAUAUAACGAAAAGAUUGCCCGCGUGUCAGCUGCCUGCAGUUCAUGCGAUAAAAGUUUCGUUUCGAAAUUCCCUCUGUGUGUGUUUUUGGGGCCGCCGGUAUUGCGCGCAUCAAUAUUUCAGAUAGAGGUGCUACUCGUUGCGCUCGGAAUUCUCACGUCCGACACGUCGGUGAAACGAAAACCGGCGACGCUAAUUAAUUCAACCGCCAAAUGAAUUCAAAUCGAAAUGAUGGGCACUCCUGUUUGCGCUGACGAUCCGUCCGGUGACAAGAAUGUUUUAAUUACGCGCGCGCUGCACCACGGCUGGCACACAGGCCGAGUCCAGGUUAAUGCGGUAAUUCACAUGCACUUUGACUGUAUUCGGCAAACAUCGAGCCAAACUCGACAAGCCGGCUUCGAUGUCACAGACCACCCUUUCGUACCACCCAUCCUUCCGUGCGCUGGCUUGUAUAUCGCGCGCGUUUCCCCGACCUGAAAUAUUCCGAUACUCGACUGUGCACGUUUACAAGCUUGAUAUCGCCGGAAAAAUACACUUUGCUCUGCGCGUUCUCAGAGGGCGAAAUAUUAAUGAAAUCUCCACGCCGUAUUUUCAACAAUGAAGAAUGAUAAGCAUAUGAAAGAAGAUGAAAUUUUGGCAAUAGUCUAUUUAAAAACUUUAGAUUGGAAAUUUAUUCAUCAAAUUUAUGAUAAAUUAGUCAUCGUAUAAAAUUAUAUGUUCCAGGACAGACGUUUUUAUUUCUGAAUUGAGUUUUGGUGCCUCAAGAAGUAUACAAUUUUCCGGCAUGGGAUGUUUCUUAAACAGGUCUGUGCGUUCUUCUUUGGGUAAGCCGUUUUUCAGAAUGGCUGGUCCUUCUACCAUAGGACGAUAUCAUUAUGUAUUGGAUCCUGAUGUAUUUCUGAAUCCACUUUUUUGUCUAUAGCUUCUAGAAUUUUUUCGUUGAGGACUGGGCCUGUUGUAUUUUCUUCUUUAUUUUAUUCUUAUAUUGUUUCCAGUAUUAUUUGUGGUUGAUUAGCUAGGGUUACUAGAGGAGUUGCUAGUGUGUCAGGUACGACUAAUUUCUUGGCUCUUUCUUUUGAGGUAGAUCUUCAUUUUCAGCGUGGACUGAACUUUUUCCUUUCGAUGCUUUUGAGUCACUUCUAGAGCUUGUCUCUGAAUCUUCUGAAAUUUUUGUCACGUGUGUGAUUAUUAGCAGUACUUGACUGUUUACACUUAUUAUAAAUGCUUUUUAUCGUCUCGAGUUGAAAUUUAUGUGUAUCUAUGAUUGCAACUUUUAUUUGCAUAUUUGUGUCCGUUAAUAAAUUUUUUAAAUCUUAUCUUUUUGCGGUCAAGUAAUAUUUGAUACAUUUCAAAUUUUAAUAUUUUUUUAAAUUGGUGUUUAUAAUAUAAUUUAUUUAACAUAUAUUUAUUCAAUAUACAUAUAUUUAAUAAUUUAUAUGUGUUUUAAUUUAUUUCAAUGUUAAUAUUUAUUAAAUAUUAAAGAGAUUAACUCAUUGUAGUAUUAGUUUUAUUUUUUUCCUUUUUAUGAAAUAUUUCUAAUGUUUCUAAUAUUGCCUGGAAACUAAAUUAUCAAUCGUAUUAAGUAUAUGUAUAUAGUGAAUAUGUUAAGUAUAUUUAGAACGAGAGAAGCGUUAUAUUUGAUCUACACACAGAAGUGUCCAUAAUGCAAAAUAUGAAAACUCACACAUAUUAAAUAAGUUAACGUAGAUUUAUACGUGCUUUCUUGUUCUUCUAAGCCAGUGACAAGGGUGUAUGUACAAACACGAUUUUUUAAUGAACAAGACAACCGGAAGUUUCUUGCAUCUGACAAUGUCACGUUGUAUAUACUUUUUACGUCACGUUCUAGCGCAAUAUUCUCUGCUGAUGCAUUUGCUUAGCAUUCCGUUUAGCUAGUUACAAUAUUUUUCAAAGUUGUUCGAUUGAUUCGCAAACUUUUAUGAUUUAUUCAUGUACAAGUAUGUUCAAUUAAAUUAUGACAAAAUUGUUAAUAUUUUAUAGUGAUCUUUUUUAAUUAUCAAUAAUAUAACAAGUAAUAAUAUCAGAAAUUCAUUCUUGAAUGAAGUACAAUGUAUAAGAUUUCUGUGAGUAUAAUAGUUUGGAUAUCAAAAUGUAUGUGAAUACAUUUAAAACCAUUGAAAUGAUUAUCCAGGACCCUCUUUCAAGUGCUUUUCUUGAAGCAAUAAAAGCAGUGGUACGCUCUGUGUUCUCUUUGCAAAAUCCUGCCAACAUAAUGGAGUGUCCUCUCAGUUAUACUGUUUGAGAUGAGCCGUGGUCUGAACGUGACAUUUGCAUUUGUACAAGCAAAAGCGGCAGCAACAGUUUGCGAUGGGAGCAAACAUAUAUUUUUCCCUAGGGUGACUUGUUACACACGUCUUUUCGUUUGUUUUUCUCGACAUCCAAAUCUAUAGUUACAUUUGUGUCAAUCUAAAUAUACCCAUUUUUAGUAUUAUAAUAUUCUGUAAAGACAACAUUUAAUGUGAAUUAUUACAAGGUGUCCAAUGGUCAUGGAAAUCUGGAAAAUCAGGAAUUGUCACAGGAGAUUUUAUAAAUCUGCAAAUAUCAGGGGAAAGUCAUACAAUUUUUACAAUCUUUCUGGAAUUUUUUAUCAUCGUUUUACAUAAUUUUUGUGUAUGCAAUGUUUUCUAUUGUUAAAUAACGUUUAGAAAAUUUUUUGACUUAAUGUCGACUACAAUUAAUUAUCUCCAUUUCUUAAAUUCCUACUGGUGACGAUAAGUUCUAAUAACUCUUAUUAAUUAUAUACUAAAAAGUCAGAGAGAAAUUAAUUCUAGACCCUGAAAAAUUCAGAGAAAAGUCAGGAAAUUUUGUUUGCUAAGUAUGCUGGACACCCUGUAUUAAUUAUUACAUUACACAAUAAGUUAAAACAUGGACUUGUAAAAGAAUUCAAUUUGAAAGAAUGCAUAUUUAUUAAAAAAAAAAUUUUUUUCCAUUGUUACAUCAAAUUAUUGCAGUCUACAAUUCAGUACAGUCUUCUUCGACACUAUUAUCUAAAUAUGUUAACCAUUGCUCUCUCUUUCUCUGCGACAAGCAAAAAAUUGCACAAUAUCAAAAUAAUGAACUGUCAAGCGACAAUCAUCACGUGCAUUUAGCGGACAAAGGCUCGUUACACAAUGUCGCCCGUCGACAAAAUCGAACGUACCGGUUGACUCGGCGUCGCGCGUGUGUUAGCAAAACGUUAAAUGCUGGACAAACAUAAUUUGUCCCCGCCACUCACAGGCGUUUAUUUGCCGACGCCUGGUCUACCGACUGAUUUCGGAAGUGUGAAAGACCGGACCUUCAGUCGCACCGCUAAAGUGCCGCUGAAGUGCCCACCAUGUUUUGCUCUUGCAAAGCCAAGGCGAGCUUUUCCGGGCUGCGUGCAGCGCGAAAGAGAAUGAAGUACCACCGGGAAGACUAAUGAGGAGUAAUAAAACACGACUAAACUGAAAAGAGCAGCGAGACCGUUGGACGCGUCAGACGCGGAAAAUGAAAGUAUGUGAAGGAGUAUGUGACGCGAGCUGUUUCGUAUCAGUGUUAAUAAAUUAAUAUUUGCACUGUGUUUCACUAAUAUUUAUUUAUAUUUGUUACUAAUAUCGUCCGGUUUAUUUAGUUUAUUACAAGUCUUAUGACAAUUGUUGUUAAUUGGUAUGAUUAGUCAUUUGAUUACGCUUAGGGGUGGUGACACCCUGAGUCGCACUGCUUUCACCCGCGUCAUGCACGUAGACGACAACGCCUAAGAGUCUAAGUGCCCUGAGUCGUUUUACGAAUUAACACGUUUUUGCUGGACUUGCCCCGAGGACUAUCAAUUUUUGAAUGCCUCCCUUGAUGAGUCAGGGUUGUUAUAUAUGUUUUUCGGGUCGGUUUCUAAAAUUUUUUCGAGGAUUCUCGUAGCGUUGCUUAUGGACAAUACCGUGGAGAUUCUCGUACGUGCGUUACGGACGACGGUCUUCUAUUAUGUAAAAUGUGGCAUGUGUUUUCUUUCCUUUUAAGAUAUCUGUUUGAAAAGAUCCUCGAAGCUUUAAGGGUGAGGUACUUCCAUAAGCUAAUAAUACUAUAAUGUAUUAAUAUGCGUUAAUAUUAUUUUCGACAUAGAUAUACAAUCAAAGGAGUGUAUUAUAGUAUUAUAAUAAUACAUACCUUAACAUAUUUUGGCCAUUACAGGCCCCUAUAAAAAAGAAUGGGAGUUAAGUAGUUUGGAAAAAAAAUAGUAGAAUAAUUACCUUUAAAAUUUCGAAGAACAUCUUGGAA